rnacentral:tRNA from 1 species
GGUUGUGGUUCAGUGGUAGGAUGCUUGCCUAUUAUGUGUGAGGCGCUGGGUUCAAUUCUCAGCACCG